AAAACCUUGUAUCCUCUCUUUUUCUUAACCUCCCUAAUUCUCGAAUCUCUGAAUCCUCUCCUCCACCCUCACCAUUUCCAAAUGUUUUUUACUCCCCUCCUCUCAAAUCCUAACCAUUUUCGAAUGUUUUUCUCUCCUCCUCUCAAAGCCUAGCCAUUUCCAAAUAUUUUUCUUCCCUCCUCUGAAACCCUAGCCAUUUUUGAAUGUUUUUUUCUCCCC
rnacentral:lncRNA from 1 species